UUAGGGGCCUGGGGGUUCAACCCAGAUUAUAUGCAUGCAAAGCACAUGUUCUACCACUGAACUAACUACAA
rnacentral:sRNA from 1 species